GACGAGCGCUGGCGGCGUGCUUAACACAUGCAAGUCGAACGGAAAGGCCCUGCUUUUGUGGGGUGCUCGAGUGGCGAACGGGUGAGUAACACGUGAGUAACCUGCCCUUGACUUUGGGAUAACUUCAGGAAACUGGGGCUAAUACCGGAUAGGAGCUCCUGCUGCAUGGUGGGGGUUGGAAAGUUUCGACGGUUGGGGAUGGACUCGCGGCUUAUCAGCUUGUUGGUGGGGUAGUGGCUUACCAAGGCUUUGACGGGUAGCCGGCCUGAGAGGGUGACCGGCCACAUUGGGACUGAGAUACGGCCCAGACUCCUACGGGAGGCAGCAGUGGGGAAUAUUGCACAAUGGGCGGAAGCCUGAUGCAGCAACGCCGCGUGCGGGAUGACGGCCUUCGGGUUGUAAACCGCUUUCGCCUGUGACGAAGCGUGAGUGACGGUAAUGGGUAAAGAAGCACCGGCUAACUACGUG
rnacentral:rRNA from 1 species